CCACAACAAGCGCCGGACUCAAAUUCACAGACGGGAAACACAAGUGUAUCCAGCUUCUAACGGUCAUAAAAAUGGAGACUCGAGUCUGAAUCAAGUCAAGUCGUGUGACUCAAGUUGCCCACCUCAGCUGUUCAGACAGAUCAUCUGUGGAAUCCGUCUAGAGAUCUGCUUGAUGUCAGUCAGGGACUGGCAAGGAGAAGAGGGUUGGAGGACUGGAGCUGAACUGAACAUCUCAC